rnacentral:lncRNA from 1 species
UUGGUUUCAGGUUAGCUGGAUGAACGAUGACCUCUUGGAUGUUGCAUGAAGCUACCUGGUAUAUGAAGUUGGCAUUUCUAGUUGAAGACGAUACUUUAAUAAAUAAAUUUUAAACAUUAAAUUUUGUAUUUUAGGUUGGAUGUUUCCAAUGUUUUGGGAAUUUGUCUUAAAUGUUUUCCGCUGCGUAUUCUAUUAUUUAUUUAAAAAAAAAAAUUAAGUGUUUUAGAUUUUUAUGCAAUAAUGUACCAACUGUGAGACACCCGGAUUUUUUUGGGUCUUACAAGUUGGUAUCAGAGCCAUAGUUUCAGAGAUUUGGGCAUCCCUUAAUGCCUGGACUUGAACUGAGAAUGGGAUCAAACUAGAAAUGCCAAUACGGGUAGCCGCACGCCAAGAGGUAAUAGUUAGUAUAUUAAAGUAUAAUUAUAAGUUUUUUUUUUCAUUGAUUGCUUAAUGGCAUGAGGUGAUAUGAUGGAGGUUAAUGCCUCUUUAUUUGAUGUAGUGUGAAAAAGUUAAAUGCAUAAUAAGUUAGAUGGACUAUUAAUGCCUUUUGCUUGGCGGUGGAAUGUAAUGUUUUUAUUAAUCACGUGAUGUUCUGGACGGAAUGCUUAUAUCUAUAUAUUUUCCAGUAUGUUGAGAUGUUUUACUUUGAUAGCCUAAUGGCAUGAUGUGUUAGAUAGAAUGGCAAUAUCGUUAUGCUUUGAUGUAUUAUAAGACGUUCUUGUUCCUAUCUUAAUUGCAUGACGUUUAGAUUCAAUGCUAACAUCAUUAUGCUUUGAAGUAUUUGAAGAUAUUUUCCUUGAAUCCUAAUUGCAUGAUGUGCUAGAUAGAACACUAGUGUGACCAUGUUGGGAAGCCUUUAGAACAUGUGUAGUAGCAUUGACAGCCGACCGCACCUGAUCAACGUGGUCGGCAGUCUAUCGUUACUUCCUUUGUUCUGAAUUGUAGCCUAAAAUGAUCAUAUGAACGUUCUAUCUUUAUGUAGGUGUAUAAUUAUGGGAUAGAUGUUGGUUGUAUUAUGUUUAUUACCCUUUAGAGUAACAACUGGCAUACUCUUGGUAACAAUAUUGCUCAGUGAUUGGAGGUAGGGACUCGCUAUUCCUAACUAGAUGAGAUACAAUUCCUUUAUUUUAUAACACUAUACAUUAUGAAUGAUUAUGCGAUGGAUUGAAUAUACCUAGGGUUAUGGUUUCCCGAGUAAGAUAGCCAUUGCAAUAUUAAGGGACCCAUAUCACGACGCCGGAAGACUUGCGACUGUGACUGAAGUUCUGUUUUAGAGUUUUAGAGACGUGGGAUGGUGACAAAAAUCUAGAUGUCCACUUGAAAGUCUCCUGCCAAUGUACAAGGAUGUGUACAUUUAUGAUGGAAAGUAGACAAAAACCCAGUCAGGUUAAGGCUGUUCUGCUGAUAGUGACGCCCAAAGUUAGGAACAGAUGAUUGGUGAGCAGAAUGAAGCUAUGCAGGAUAUAUGGAUCAAUAAAGAGCGCAUGUUUGAUUGCUUGUGCGAAUGUCAUUACUCAUUAGGAAUUACUCGAAGAACAUAGUGGCAUCCAUCCUUUCUUGUUUCUCGUUGAAUGAUUUAUCUAGCAUGUAAGGAAGCUCAUGUGCUUCCCGAUGACAUCUAAGUUGAAGGAAGGACUAACUACAUCGAUAAACCUAUGACUUUACUAACCCAACACAAAAGAAAGUUCGAACUGAAGCUAUAAUCACAAUUGUUUAUUAUACAGUAGGAUUCGUGGACAAAUCCUUUUCUAAGGGGUAGACAUGUAACACUCUAAAUUUUCGUCUGCAACGUUGAACGUUCUAUGUAUGAUGUAGUUUAAAAAAAAAAAUAAAUAAAUAACACAAUGUCAAGGCAACUUUGGGAUUAUUCCUCAAGACAAAACGUCGAGGGUCAUUUGAUAUUUCUUACAAACUAAAAGUGUUCACUACAUGUCGAUACGGUAGACCCUUACUAUCCGAGGGAUUGGUUCUAGGCACGUUGUGUCAGAAUCCAUCGCCUUUGCCGAGGAUACAUGUCUCAUUACUGACUCUGAAACAAAAUUUCAUGAGGGGCGGGGUCUAAAGUUCAUGUUAGCGCAACCUAUCAUCCACGACGAGAUGGUCACUUGGAAGGACCAUCCAAGUUCUUGUAAUCUUAUAGGGAAAAAAAAUGGAUAACAGAUUUUUUUUUUGACAAUAGUUACAUUGCUAGUUUGUGAAUGAUACUCAUUAGAUGUUGUAUGGAUGAAAGUGUAGGACUCCUGUUUGUUGGUGUCAAAAUCAAGAAUAGUUAGAAUUAGAUGUGGUAACAACUGGAAAAAAGGGGUUAAACACAAUGCUUUUAUAUAAGCAGCCCUUAUGGGCAGAAAGCCUAUGUAGUUAUGAGGUGAUGACUAAUUGAAUUGGAUGUUGGAAAUAGAGAUUUGGGGAAAGGUUGAUAGCUUGUAUGGAUGCAAUUACUCAUGUAUUGGAUUUGGCCGAUAAAUUUUAUGGCAUGCAUCCUCUAUUUUUCACGUGAAAUAAAACGGCGUGUCUAACAUUUGAGAAGGAUCUGGUGCUUCAUAAUGACCAUGUGAUCGAAAAGAGAUCGGCGAAGAUUAGGUUUUAGUUCCGAAGAUGUCCAAACUUAACUAGAGGGAAAAACGGUUACAAACUGAUGUUGUUAACUAAUUGAAGGUGCUAUGGAAUCAUGAAGGGUUAUGAAACUACAGUCGCAGAGUUUCUGUACACAACAGGAUUCGAGGACGAAUCCAAUUGUAAGGGGGGUAGACUUGUAACAUCCUGAAAUUUUCUAAGGCUACAUUAUUUAGCGAGUAGCCAAUGAGACGCGCAAGCCACUAAACGAAGAGUAGUCUUCCACGCAUCGGUUUUGAUUUAAUGAAAUUUGAAGGAAAAUAAAUAAAUAAAUUUUAGGAAACUUAUGGAGCCAUGGGAGAACUAGAGGGGCCGAUGUGUAAAUUUAGAGGAAAAAAGAAACUUUGAGUCUAUAUUGAAAGAUGGAUGAAGGUUGAGGGACCCAUAUGUAAAUUGCCUAACACCUUCAGUGAAUAAACCCUACCCGAAGUUAUAAAAAAGGAAAAAAAAAAUAAAAGAAAACAAAAUUGUAACCCUAUAUGUUCCUUCAUGAAGCGGCGGCAAGAAGAUGGUUAAAGGUUCGGUUCUUCGACUACCACCCGUGACUCUCGCUUCUUGGUAUCACCAUCAUCUUUUCAAUUAAUGCCUGGUUCGUUCUUGCCAGUCAUGAUGUUCAAGGCACCCGGUCUGGUAAUCGUUCUGCGAACGUAUUAG